rnacentral:rRNA from 1 species
CGGGGUGAGUAAUGUCUGGGAAACUGCCUGAUGGAGGGGGAUAACUACUGGAAACGGUAGCUGAUACCGCAUAACGUCGCAAGACCAAAGAGGGGGACCUUCGGGCCUCUUGCCAUCGGAUGUGCCCAGAUGGGAUUAGCUAGUAGGUGGGGUAACGGCUCACCUAGGCGACGAUCCCUAGCUGGUCUGAGAGGAUGACCAGCCACACUGGAACUGAGACACGGUCCAG